UACGGGGGGGGGCAAGCGUUGUUCGGAAUUACUGGGCGUAAAGGGCCAGUAGGCGGCCAACUAAGUCACACGUGAAAUCCCCAGGCUUAACCUGGGAACUGCGUGUGAUACUGUCGGGCUUGAGUACGGAAGAGGCGAGUGGAAUUCCUGGUGUAGCGGUGAAAUGCGCAGAUAUCAGGAGGAACACCAAUUGCGAAGGCAGCUCGCUGGGACGUUACUGACGCUGGAGACGCGAAAGCGUGGGGAGCAAACAGG
rnacentral:rRNA from 1 species